UACGUAGGUGGCGAGCGUUGUCCGGAUUUACUGGGCGUAAAGGGCGUGCAGGCGGUUUGUUAAGUGCAGGGUGAAAGCUCCCGGCUCAACUGGGAGAGGUCCUUGCAUACUGGCGAACUCGAGGGAGGCAGUGGAAAGUGGAAUUCCCGGUGUAGUGGUGAUAUGCGUAGAUAUCGGGAGGAACACCUGUGGCGAAGGCGGCUUUCUGGGCCUUACCUGACGCUGAGACGCGAAAGCGUGGGGAGCGAACCGG
rnacentral:rRNA from 1 species